AUUCCAUCUAUUAUUAGGCUAAUAACAGCUUAUUUUCAAAUUUGAGUGCAGUUGUGUCCUAUCACACAGUUGGGUCCGUUUUUACAGGCAGGUAUUUGGUACUCAUUACUUAGACAAACAGACAUCAUAUUAAAGCUUCAAGUGACGGCCUGUCCUUCUCCGGAGAGUGGUACAAAAUGACUUCCCAUUUCCUGAGCCUGCAGUCACGUUUGUGAAGUUCAGAUGUUCUCCAGAUCAAGCCAUUAUGGAGAAAUGUGUUUUUUUCUGAUCAUAAUAAUUAGUGAUGAAAAGAUAACUGAAAUCCCUGGGAUUUUGGAGGACAGCUUCUGUCAGCACAGUCUUCUCUUUGUUCAACUGUACAGAGGCACCCAGAAGCAGCAGGGAACAGCAAGAAAAACAAGAGGAGACAAAGCAGGAAGGCUGCACACCAUGACCUGGGGACUCUCAUGGCAGCACGCAUGCUGGGAAGGUGAGCUCCACACCAAGCACUGAACUUGUCCUGUCCCAACCUGCAGUAAGUGCCCACUGCUUCUGCACACGUGAUGCUUGCCUUGGAGUUGUGGCUCUUUCAGAGAGCUGUUGUGAAGGAGGUACACAAAGAUGAUAAUCCUGGAAAAAGAAGGCUCUAAAGAUCCGCAGGUCACCGUGUGUGGCGUUGGUGUCUGCAGAAUGUCCGUACCUGAAGAAUCUGCCAAGCACUAUUUGAUGUUGUUCCUUGCUGGGGAUGUGUGUUUUGGCACCCUGUCCAUUAACACUCCCUGAAAUAGGGAGACAGAUCUGUGAGAUGGAAAUUUCUGACCUCUUGUAAAUGAGGCUUUUAUUCUCAGCAAGCUUGGUAUCCCUAAAUGUACAGUUAAUAUUCUUCUGUAUCAGGAAAAGCUGCUCAGAUACGUGGUCUCAACUGAUUCAGGCUUCAAGUUGGAAAGUUUUUCGUGCUGUUUAUAGAUGGAGAUGGUGGCUCUGCAUAUGCUGGUGUAUGUUGUUCCUAAAAGUAAUGACAUUUCCUUUAGACACCUAAGUUCUGAACCAAGAAUCUUGUUUCUGGAGGGCUGUGAAAUGCACGUAGCGCCGCACUGAAUCGAUGGGAUUAAUGAGUUCUCUCUACCUGUUUUGUUCGCUAAUGUCUGCUCUUCUGAAUUGGUUUGUUUUGCUUAACACACACGCUGUAUCAACCUAACUAUGUAGUUUUGGGCUAGAAGUCAGGUUUUCUGUGUUGCUAUCAGGUCUUCAACUUUUCAAAAUGAAAGGUCUUUAAUAUUAGUCUGGUUUUGAGCCAAUUUCUUAAUAAGAAUAACGUAUUAUAAAUUGCUGAAA
rnacentral:lncRNA from 1 species